CGCAGCCGCGGUAAUUCCAGCUCCAAUAGCGUAUAUUAAAGUUGUUGCAGUUAAAAAGCUCGUAGUUGAAUUUCGGGGUUCUACCGUUGGUCGGGCUUUGUCUGUACUGACGUGUAGAAUUUCUACCUUCUGGGGAACCAUCAUGUUAUUAAUUUAACGUGGUGGGAAACCAGGACCUUUACCUUGAAAAAUUAGAGUGUUCAAAGCAGGCUUAUGUCUGAAUACAUUAGCAUGGAAUAAUAGAAUAGGACGGUGGUCCUGUUUUGUUGGUUUCUGAAUCACCGUAAUGAUUAAUAGGGAUAGUUGGGGGCAUUAGUAUUCAAUUGUCAGAGGUGAAAUUCUUGGAUUUAUUGAAGACUAACUUCUGCGAAAGCAUUUGCCAAGGAUGUUUUCAUUAAUCAAGAACGAAAGUUAGGGGAUCGAAGACGAUCAGAUACCGUCGUAGUCUUAACCAUAAACUAUGCCGACUAGGGAUCGGACGAUGUUAAUUUUUCUUGACUCGUUCGGCGCCUUACGGGAA
rnacentral:rRNA from 1 species